rnacentral:rRNA from 1 species
AUGCUCGCACUUUCCAUAUGGAGCUGGGAGCGUUUUCUGGUUGGACGAUUGAAGACCGUGAAGUACGAGGAUUGGGACGACAAAAAUGACCCACUACGGCGCCCCACUUGUGCUUACAAGUGGGAUGUGUUAAAUGAGAUGACGGAUGAUCCGUCAGUCAUGUACAAGUUGUACAAGAGCGAGCUGGACACGAUCAUGCCUGGGCAGGUGAAUCGACAUUGCAUAAGUGAUUAUCAUGCUUCUAUCAUAACUCGAUAUCAAUUUUGCAUUCUAUCCCAUUUUGUAGGUGGAAUGGGAGCCGUAUGGAAAAUGAGAGUUUUGGUAACCCUAUAG